UACAUGGGGUGCAAACGUUGCUCGGAAUUAUUGGGCGUAAAGCGCGCGUAGGCGGUUACUCAAGUCGGAUGUGAAAGCCCUCGGCUUAACUGAGGAAGUGCACCCGAAACUGAGUAGCUAGAGUACUAAAGAGGGUCGCGGAAUUCCCGGUGUAGAGGUGAAAUUCGUAGAUAUCGGGAGGAACACCAGUGGCGAAGGCGGCGACCUGGGCCAAUACUGACGCUGAGGUGCGAAAGCGUGGGGAGCAAACAGG
rnacentral:rRNA from 1 species